rnacentral:lncRNA from 1 species
AUACAUUGUAUUUAUCCUUACAGUAUUUUCUUGAUUCUAAUUAUAACUCUUUUUUGUCCAACCAUAGAAAGAGAAUGGAAAAGGGAAAAUGUGAGUACAGAGAAAUUGGCACUGAUUUCCAUCACAAAAAGAGACUCUACAAAGCUCUGGAGGAAAGUUACACCACCGCAUAGGCUGAUGUUGGAGGCCCUGUUGGAGACUUCCUUUUAAGCACUUGGCUUCUUACUGUAAAUUGUGUCCCUAACACUGGAGGAGAGAAAAAUAAGCUGCAAGAUUUUCUUUCAGCAUUAACCAUUUGGA